rnacentral:rRNA from 1 species
GAAAGAAGGGCUAAUACCGGAUAAUAUCAAGGAUCCACGCGGUUUUUGAUUAAAAGAUUUAUCACUAUGGGAUGAGUCUGCGUACCAUUAGCUAGUUGGUGGGGUAACGGCCUACCAAGGCGACGAUGGUUAGCGGGUCUGAGAGGAUGAUCCGCCACACUGGAACUGAGACACGGUCCAGACUCCUACGGGAGGCAGCAGUGGGGAAUUUUGCGCAAUGGGCAAAAGCCUGACGCAGCGAUACCGCGUGAGUGAAGAAGGCCUUUGGGUCGUAAAGCUCUUUUCUGAGGGAAGAUAGUGACGGUACCUCAGGAAUAAGCACCGGCUAACUCCGUGCCAGCAGCCGCGGUAAUACGGAGGGUGCGAGCGUUGUUCGGAUUUACUGGGCGUAAAGGGCGCGUAGGCGGCCUGGUAAGUUAAGGGUGAAAUCCCGGGGCUCAACCCCGGAACCGCUCUUAAAACUGCCAAGCUAGAGAUAGUCAGAGGCGGGUGGAAUUCCUAGUGUAGAGGUGAAAUUCGUAGAUAUUAGGAGGAACACCGGUGGCGAAAGCGGCCCGCUGGGGCUUAUCUGACGCUAAGGCGCG